ACUCACAUAUGUGUUCUCUGUAGCACUAAGUCUUGACACACACUCUGUUGGUGUCCAGAGAGGAAUGUCCAGGGGUACCUAGUGCCAAAUUCUCCACACCCUAUCCUCCCUUCUAAAGGAACUAUAUCAUCUCCCUGGUUCUAGAACCCUUUUUAGCCACAGCAUUCUCAGUCACUCUCACCAGCAUGGUGAAGAUCCAACAUCCCGAGAUCCAAAGUUACUUCUUGAAGACCGACACACUCCCAGCGGACUGAACUAGAACACCUCUGUGCUUUGAUAGAAUUAAAAAUGAAUGAGGAACUUUGGGAUCAAUUCCUGCCCUCUAAGUCACAGUCAUGAGAAGACAGACUCUACAGAGAAAUCCUAGUAACAUUUGACAGGCGUUACACGAGAUCGAUAUUCCACCAUAAAAGUUCCAGAAAGGUCAUUCCAUGAGCUCACUGUCCAAGUAGCCUCCCCUAUGUCAGUGACACAUUUCAUCCUCUUAAUCCACAAAACCCUGAAACACUCCACCUUUCCAAAGGAAACAAGAUAUUUGAUUUAAAGGAAGUUUACUCACAUACUCCUAAGACAGAUGCCCUUGGUGAGUUUCAGAAAACUGAGCCCAAAGAGCUAAGGUGCCUAUGAGGACCAGCCUCUGAGCUCCGGCGACAACAGCCAAUGAAGCCCCCAGCCAGACAGCAGUGGUGCCCACCGGAGGGACAGAAGCAUGAGUGACAACAACCUGUUCCACCACAGACACCACCUUCCUGGAAUCUCAAAAAGACAGAGACAGUAAAAACAAACAAAAUAAAACAGUGCCUCUAUUGCCUUAA